GAUCCCUGUUUGCCUGAGGCUUUUAUGAGAAUUCUACAAGGGAAAACAGUCUUGAUGAUUACGGAAUUCUUUUAACAGUGAUAGUUCCUACUGAUACCAGUACUCAUAUUGCCAACCUGAGUACUCAAAACAGUGUCUUCCUGGGAAAUAAAACAUUAGCUGUUGCAUUCUGAAUGGAGUGACUUCAUACUGAUUGCUACCAGUUGUACUGUGAAGUACUUCCAGAAACAACACUUCUGGGGAAUAGCGAACAGAAACUUUAUAGAAAUAUGACAAGUUCCUCUGUUUUUCAGUAUGACCUUUGAGGUCCACAGGUACUUGGAAUUAGGUUGAUUGUAGUUAAAUGGGUCAGUAUUGCAAAAUCUCAAUUCUGAAGAUGAAUGCACUUCAUGUCUUGCAGUGACAAAUGGAAAAAUGGACAUUAUUUGAGUUUAAGUUGCUAUAAACAGUUCAGGUGAAUAUUGAGAUCGAAAUAAAUAUACCCUCAAAAACAACACACCUUUUAUCAUUUAAUUUGCUG
rnacentral:lncRNA from 1 species